rnacentral:rRNA from 1 species
CGGCGGACGGGUGAGUAACGCGUGGGUAACCUGCCUCAUACAGGGGGAUAACAGUUGGAAACGGCUGCUAAUACCGCAUAAGCGCACAAUACCGCAUGGUACGGUGUGAAAAACUCCGGUGGUAUGAGAUGGACCCGCGUCUGAUUAGGUAGUUGGUGAGGUAACGGCCCACCAAGCCGACGAUCAGUAGCCGACCUGAGAGGGUGGCCGGCCACAUUGGGACUGAGACACGGCCCAA